AAUAACAGUAGAAGUACACCUUCUUACACUUUUUAAAUGAUUCAACUCAGGUAUUAUGGAACAAGGGGACACUUAGACCGAGGAAUUUUACACGGGGUGCCGGGAAAGAGGAAAAGAUGAGGACGAAUCUGCCGGAGCUGAUCUUCCGGCUGUAAAAACAAGGCGGCAGUCAGCUGACGGUUCCUGCACCGCGGCUGGUUGACAGCGCCGGGUGUGCGGACAGCAGGAGACUCGGAACAAGGGGAGUGCUAUAGAAAUUCUGCCAAAGAAGAUGAAGAAAAACAGAGAAAGAUUCUGCAACAGAGGGAGGGAAUUUGUGUAUGAAUUCAAAGUGGGAAGUCAGUGCUUAAAACUGACGGUGCCUCUCAAAUUUCCUGUUCAAGAGAAUGCCAGUCAUUUACAUGGCCGUCUGAUGCUGCUGCACAAUUUACCAUGCUUUAUAGAAAAAGACUUAAAAGAAGCUCUGAGCCAGUUUAUCGAAGAAGAAUCCCUCAAAGAUUAUGACAGAGAUGCUGAAGCAGCCCUGGAAGCUGUGAAGUCAGGUGAAGUAGACUUACAUCAGCUGGCAAGUACCUGGGCCAAAGCUUAUGCGGAGACCACAUUAGAGCAUGCAAGGCCCGAGGAGCCCAGCUGGGAUGAAGAUUUCGCAGACGUGUACCAUGACCUAAUCCAUUCUCCUGCCUCUGAAACUCUCCUAAAUUUGGAACACAAUUACUUUGUUAGUAUCUCAGAACUGAUUGGCGAAAGAGAUGUGGAGCUGAAAAAAUUAAGAGAGAGACAAGGCAUUGAAAUGGAAAAAGUGAUGCAGGAACUGGGAAAAUCACUGACAGAUCAAGAUGUAAAUUCACUGGCUGCUCAGCAUUUUGAAUCCCAGCAGGACUUGGAAAAUAAAUGGUCCAAUGAAUUAAAACAGUCGACUGCCAUUCAAAAGCAAGAGUAUCAGGAAUGGGUGAUGAAACUUCAUCAAGACCUAAAAAACCCCAAAAACAGCUCUCUCAGUGAGGAAAUUAAAGUUCAACCAAGUCAGCUCAGAGAAUCCGCUGAAGCAAAUGGAAGGAUUUAUGAGGAACAGAGAAAGUUAGAAGAAAGUUUUACCAUUCACUUAGGAGCCCAGCUGAAGACCAUGCAUAACCUGAGGUUGCUGAGAGCAGAUAUGCUGGAUUUCUGUAAGCACAAGAGGAGCCACCGAAGCGGCGUGAAGCUGCACCGACUCCAGACGGCGCUGUCGCUUUACUCCACGUCCCUCUGUGGCCUGGUGUUGCUAGUGGAUAACCGCAUCAAUUCAUAUAGUGGUAUUAAAAGAGAUUUCGCCACAGUUUGCCAAGAAUGCACUGACUUCCAUUUUCCCCGAAUUGAGGAGCAGCUGGAGGUUGUCCAGCAGGUGGUACUUUACGCCAGAACCCAGUGCAGGAGCAAGCUGAAAGAAUCUCACGAUUCUGGAAACCGAAAUGGAGGAAGUGAUGAUAAGACUAAGAAUGCAGAUAGAAACUAUUUAAACAUUCUACCUGGAGAAUUUUACAUUACUCGGCAUUCUAAUCUCUCAGAAAUACAUGUUGCUUUCCAUCUCUGUGUGGACGACAACGUGAAAUCGGGAAACAUCACUGCGCGGGACCCUGCCAUUAUGGGUCUCCGAAACAUACUCAAGGUUUGCUGCACCCAUGACAUCACAACAAUAAGUAUUCCUCUCCUGCUGGUGCAUGAUAUGUCAGAGGAAAUGACUAUACCGUGGUGCUUAAGGAGAGCAGAACUUGUGUUUAAGUGUGUCAAAGGUUUCAUGAUGGAAAUGGCUUCGUGGGACGGAGGAAUUUCUAGGACAGUGCAGUUUCUGGUGCCACAGGAAACAACUGUCCAGUAACAACCCUAAGGAGAACACCACUCCAGACUGGGUCCAUUACUCACUAACACUUUCCACAUCCUUUUCCAAAGAGCCUGGUGAUCCCACCAAGAACAAGGCAGGAGAGCAUGACGAGCUCUCUGCGGAUGCCUUUGGCACAUAGAGAAUGAAACCCAGAACACAGUACCCAAGAAGCACGCAGAUCCUUUCUGGAGAUGUCAAGGGAUGAAGCAGAAACCGUGCAGUUUCGGUGUGACACCUGUGUUAGUGGGUCUCUCCCUCCCUCUGUGUUCUCUUCUGCUUUCUAUCCUUCUUUCCUUUUCUUUCUUUAUGGUGAAGUCCUGGUUCCUUGUUAUCUGCUCCUCUGUGCUCAAAACUCUCAGCAUGACAGUCUGACAUCAGAGAUGGGAACCCAGUUAAACAAAUCUGCCUCAAAGACUGCCUCCCUGAUUUACUUGCCAUGGCUUGUCUCCAGGCGUAUUAGCUACCCUCGGAAGCGUGUUUCCUCAACUGUAAGCUAGGAAACGUUAAUAAUAGUAUCUACCUCACUUAGUAGUUGGGAGGAUUAAAGAAGGAAGCGCACACGACCUGGCAUAUAACCAUUCUAUAAAUAUGUGCUGCUAUUAUCCUUCCUUCCUUUCUUCCUUCCUGUCUGACCUUUCUCCUCUUUUCCUUCUUUCCUUUCACUGGAUUGUAGGGACACAAAGUCACGUACCUCACUGUGUCCUGAGGCAGCGUGCAGCCCAAUUGAGUUGGGACGAGAACUCAGGGUAACUCGCAGGACCAGUCCGCACACAGGAAGGUACACAGUCAGUGCGGAGCGCGAUGCACAUACUUGGCUGUGGACGUCCAAACAGAAACACGAGCAAUGCGUUGGGCCGAGAGGGGUGUUGAGCCCCUUGGGAGCAGACGGCCUGGCCCUUUCUCUCUCUGGCAUGGAGUGCGUAUCCCCUGGAGCUUUCGUCCCUCUCGAUGGGCAAGCGUAGAUCUCCUGGCAGACACACAACGCCACCUGUGCCAGGAGUGGCAACAAAUUCAAAGGGCGGGGGGGCAGGUGAGAGUGUCAGGAGGAAGUCACAGGGUAGGUGACUGACCCUGUAUUUGAUGGAGCAGGAAGGACUCUCACAUUUUUAUCGGGUGAAUCUGGAUUUUGGAUGUAACGAUAGUAUGAAGUGGUUCGGAGGUUUGAAGUCCGCUGCCCCCGGAGCAGGAGCAUAGAAUUUGCCCCUGUGAUGCUUUCUUCCCUGGUUCGUCCCUGAGGAUCUCCUGUCUGUGAGCUGAUCAGCUGUGUGCUGUUGUGCAGAUGACUCACUGAGGCCAGAGGACUAAAUACUGGCAAAGGAUUCAGUUCCAGGACGGUUAGGGAAGACAUCCCAGGGAUGAGAGAAGAGAAUGUGAACUCAGAAAUCCCUGGUCCACUCCUUCGGCUCUGCGUGUGGUGACGGUGAAGUAGGGAGGGGGCAAGAGAGCAAGUUCAUCUCUUUGUUCUUUUCUAAAACCCUCUAGGCCACCUUGUCUGAUGUAGCACAUUGGACAUUUACUCUUCUGUGUAAAUUUUCUUUUAUUGUGAAAUACUUCACACAUACAGAGAAGCUAGGAGAAUUAGAUAACAAAUCCUCAUUUCUCUACUACCUAUGUGCAAUCUCAACAUUUUGCCGUGUUUGCCUCGGGUCUCUCUUAAGACAUAAAACAUCAAAGACACAGUUGAACCCUUGUCCCUUUUGCCCCUCCUGCAUUCUGUGCUCCUCCUAGGUCAGCUGUUUCUCAGUAACAAACCACCUGGAAACUUAGUGGCUGCAACAAUAAGCCCUGUUACUCCUCAUGACUCCUUGGUCACCUCGGCGGCUCUGGUCUUACCUGGGCUCCGUCUUCAGAUCCGCUUCAGUAGGUCAGGUGGGUGGCUCUGAUGACCUUGGCUUGUCUCUCUCAGGUGGUUGGAGGUCAGCUGGCUGUAGGCUGGAAUAGGCUGACCUCAGCUGGGACACCUGGACUGUCCUUCACUGGGUCUCCUCCUGCAGGAGGCUGGCCCCAACUUGCUCACGUGCGUCAGUAGUUCGGAAAAGACGGAGGGCUCGUGCGAUGCCUCUGAGGCCUAGACUCAGAACUGACACACAUCACUUGUAUACCACAUUCCGUUGGUUAAAGCAAGUCCCAAAGCCAUCGCAUAUUCUAGGAGCGAGGUAAUAGGCUCCCUGUUUUGAUGAGAAGUGCUACUAAAGUCCCAUAGCAAAAAGCAUGGACACAGGGUGGGGAGAAAAUGUGGGAGUAUUUCUGCUACCAAUGUAUCAGUCUUUCCUCAGUAGUGAUUGCUGUCUUAACUCUGAUGUUCUUCAUUCUCCCGGGUUUAUUUAUAGUUUCAGUGCAUAUCUGUAUAGUGUACAUCCAUGUCUAUAUAGUGUAGCCAUAAAACGUGUCGUAUUGAGAUGUGCCGAAGGUGUCAUACUGAAAGCAUUAUCUUCUGCAUGUCACUCAACAACGUGCUUUUGUUAAACCCCAUAUCACGCUUUUGAGAUUUAACCAUACUGAUACAGAUAGAGCCACUUCAUUCAUUUUAGCUGCUAUAUACUACUUUUGAGUACUCUGAAUUAUAUGCUUACGGCCCAGUUUGUUUAUUUGUUUACUCUCCUCUUGAUGGACAGUGAGACGCUUUGCAUUGUGCAUGCACGUUAGCUUCUCCAGGGUGUGUCUCUGUGAGUGGAAUUGGUGGAUUCUAGAGUAUUAACAACUUCGAAUUUGUUAGUUCCAAAUUUAACUCCAACGUGUUUGUCCCAAAUAACCCUCCCACUGACAGCAUAUGAACACUCCUUUUUUCCUCCAUAUCCUUGUAGAAACCAGGUAAGAACUUUCAGAAAUUUUAAUUUUUGCCAUUCCAGUAGGAAAUAGUGCCAUUUGGUUUUGCAUUUCUGUUGUCACUGGUGAUGUUGUGUAGCAUAGCAUGUUUGUUGGCCAUUUUGAUUUCCCUGGUCAUGAACUGUUUGAAUAAUUUUUGAGGAACCUCCAGACUGUUUUCCACAGUGACUGCACCUGUUUACAUUCUCAUCAACCGUGCACAAGGGUUCCCUUUUCUACACAUCUUUGUCAACACUUGUUGUCUCUUGUCUUUUUGAUAGUAGCCAUUCUAACAGGUGUGAAGUGAUAUCUCAUUGCACUUUUGAUUUGCAUUUCCCUGAUUAUUAGUGAUAUUGAGCAUCUUUUCAUGUACCUAUUGGUUAUUUGUAUGUCUCUUUGGGAAAAUGCCUAUUCAGUUCCUCUGCCGAUUUUUUAAUUGAGUUGUUUCUUUGUUUUUGUUAUUGAGUUGUAUGAGUUCCUUAUAUAUUUUGGAUAUUAACCCCUUAUCAGAUACAUGAUUUGCAAAUAUUUUCUCCCAUUCCAUACAUAGGUUGCGUUUUCAUUUUGUUGAUGGUUUCCUUUGCUAUGCAGAAGCUCUUUAGUUUGGAAUAGUCCCACUUGUUUAUUUUUGCUUUUGUUGCCUUUUAGUGUCAAAUCCAAAAAAUCAUUGCCAAGGCCAAUGUCAAAGAGCUUAUGCCAUACGUUUUCUUCCAGGAGUUUUAUGGUUUCAGGCCUUAACAUUCAAGUCUUUAAUACAUUUUGAGUUGAAUUUUGUGAGUGGUUUAAGAUGAAGGUUCAGUUUUAUUCUUUUGCUUGUGACUGUCCAGUUUUCCCAACACCAUUUAUUGAAGAGCCUGUCCUUUCCCCAUUAUAUAUCCUUGGCUCCUUUGUCAUAAAUUAAUUGACCAUUUGUGUGUGGAUCUAUUUCUGGGCUCUCUAUUCUGUUUCACUAUUUUAUGCCAAUACUAUACUCUUCUGAGUACUAUGGCUUUGUAAUGUAGUUUGAUCAAGAACUGUGAUGCCUCCAGUCUUAUUCUUUCUCAAGAUUGCUUUUGCUAUUCAGAGACUUUUGUGGUUCAAUACAAAUUUUAAAAUUAUUUUUUCUAUUUCUGAGAAAAAUGCUGUUGGAAUCUUGACAGAAGACUACAUUGAAUCUGUAGACUGCUUUGGGUAGUAUGGAAUUUUAAUAAUAUUAAUUCUUCCAAUCCUUGAGCACAGAAUAUCUGUUUAUUUAUUUGUAUCUUCUUCAGUUUCUUGCAUCAGUGUCUUAGAGUUUUCAGUGUAGAGAUCCUUCACCUUCUUGGUUAAAUUUAUUCCUAGAUAUUUUAUUCUUUUUGAUGUAAUUGUAAAUGGGAUUCUUUGCUUAAUUUCUCUUCCUGAUCGUUUGUUGUUAGUGUGUAGAAAUACAAAUGAUUUUUAUAUUGAUUUUGUAUCCUGCACCUUUACCAAAUUUGUCUAUUGGUUCUAACUUUUUUGGUGGCCUCCUUACAGUUUUUUAACAUAUAAUACUAUGUCAAUUUUACUUUUUUUUUCUUAUUUGGACACCUUAUUUUUUUUCCUGCCUAAUUGCUCUGGCCAGGACUUCCAGUGCUAUGUUAAAUAAAGGUGGCAAGAGCAGGCAUCCUUGUCUUGUUCGUGGUCUUAGAGGAAGAGCUUUCAGCUUUUCACCAUUGAAUAUAAUGUUAGCUGUGGGCUUGACAUGUAUGCCUUUUUUGCAUCUAUUGAGACGAUCAAAUGAUUUUUAUCUUUCAUUUUGUUAAUGCAGUCUGUCAUGUUGAUUGAUUUGUGGAUGUUGAACCAUCUUUUCAUCCCUUCAAUAAAUCCCACUUGAUCAUGGUGUAUGAUCGUUUUUAUGUAUUCCAGUUUGCUAAUAAUUUGUUGAGGAUUUUUGCAUCUAUGUUCGUCAAGGAUAUUGGUCUGUAAUUUCCUUUUCUGAUUUGUUAUCAGGGUAAUGUUGGCCUCAUAAGAUGAGUUUGGAAGUGUUCCCUUUUCUUCUAUUUUUUCGGAAGACUUUGAGAAGCAUUGGUGUUAAUUCUUUAAAUGUUUGGUAGAAUUCACCAGUGGGGCCUUCCUAUCCUAGGCUUUUCUUUGUUGGGAGAUUGUUGGUUAUGGCCUCAAUCUCCUUACUAUUAAUUGAUCUGUCUGAGUUUUCUGUUUCUUUAUGAUUCAGUCUCAGUAGAGUGAAUGUUUCCAGGAAUUUACCAUUUCUUCUAGGUUGUCUGAUUUUUUUGGUAUAUAAUUGUUCAUAGUAGUUUUUUAUGAUUUUUUGUACAUGUGUAGUAUUAGUUGUAAUGUCUCCUCUUUCACUUCUAAUUUUGAGUCCUCUCUCUUUUAUUCUUGGUAAGUCUGGCUAAAGGUUUAUCCAUUUGGCUUAUCUUUUUUAAAAAACAGCUCUUAGUUUCACUGAUCUUUUCUAUUCUCUUUUUAGUGUCUAUUUAAUUUAUUUCUACUCUGAUCUUUGUUAUUUUCUUACUUCUGCUAACUUUGGGCUUAUGUUGUUCUUUUUCUAGUUCCUUGAGAUGUAAGGUUCAGUUGUUUAUUUAAGCUCUUUCUUUUUCCCUUAAUGUAUGAAUUAAAGACCAUUCAAUUAUCUCAAGUUCUUAGGAAUCUCUUCUGUUUAUGGAGUCUGCAUGUUCUCCUACACUGUUGACUGUGUCCUUGUUUGCUUUGUAAUUUUUUAUUAUGAAGUUACCUUCAUUGGAUCUUUGUAGUAAGUCUGUAUAAACUGGUUUGAGAAUUUGUCCCUCCAGAAAGGUUUAAUGUAUUUUUCUUUUAGGCUACCCAAGGGUAUUCUUAGCCUAGGACCAAAUUUUAUGUUAGUUUAUUAAAAACUGGUUGUUCCCAAAACACAUGGAUAGUGUAAACUUGAACUCCAAACCUACUCAUGAUAUGGACUUCUUCCCCACAUUCAAAUCAAGCUAUGUCCAUGUUAAUGAAUGAGGCUUAACAGAAACAUGCAGAUUAUACUUACCAAUAUCUUACCAGUAUUAAACACUUACUCUCUUCUAAGCCCUACGCUCCUUUACCUACUGCAUAAGUUUAAGAUGUAAAUUCAACUUCUGUGACCAAGUAUCAAGGUUAUGUUGGUGAAGGAAAGAUACAAUUUUACUUUACUUUUAUAUUCAAGUCCAAGUUAGAAUGCCAGCUCUGCUCUGGAAAGGUAUCAGGGUUCCAGGGCUCCAUCUUCUGUCCAACUAUCAGUAAGGUGCUGCGCUUAUUUCAUGGCCCAAGAGAUCCUGCCACUAUGUCUGCAUUCCACUCAGUAAGAAGGGGAAAGUGGUAAUGGGACACAAUCCAAAAGUUGUGCACAUCACUGCCACUCACAUCGCAUUGGCUAGAACAUAGUUACGUGUUCACACCUACAUGCAAAAGAGUUGGGAAAUUGAGUCCCUUCUUUGGGUGCCAUGUCCCAAAUAAAAACUGGUAUUCCUAUGUCUAUAGAAGAAGAAAACAAAUAUUAAGGACAACCAGCAGAUUGCCUUACCUACAUUAUAUCAUUUUAAUCUUUAAGCAAGCCUAUGAGAUAGAUAUUGUAUCUGUUUUAUAUCUAAGGAAAAGUAAUUUGCCCAAGGUAAUACAGUUACUAGAGAGGAGUUUAGACUCAAAGCCAGGUGUCUGCGACACCAAAAUUCUUCAAAGUGCUGUUGAAAGUCAGACCUGAAUGCGUGGCUAGUUACAUUUGAUUAGAGCUCUCUGUCAAAAUAUUGAAGGAGACUUUGGAGUCAAAAAGACCUGAACUGAUCCACCAGCAGGGCCAAGGCUAAGAAGAGGUAAACAAAAUGCCAAGAGUGAAAUAUAUAAGAAAGCAUUCACUCUCAGGGGUGUGCAAGCAUUCACAGCCCUGAGAGUAAAUGCUCCUUAAAUUUGCUCCGUAGCCAUCUCACUUGCCUCACCCUACUGCCAACCCUACUCAUCAUUUCCAUUACUAACCAGAUAUGGCCUUGGACAAAUAUUUCAUGUCUUUGACUGUUUGUUUACUUGUCUCUAAAGUACAUUUUCCCCCCUCUCAACUUCAUAAAAUCAGGCAAGAAAAAAAAAAGGAAAUGUGAGAAUGCUUUACAAAUUAUAAAGUUAUGAAAAGAUAAGAUUUAAUUUGAUUCUUGAGAGCCAAAGCCAUUUUUGAAUAUGAGGAUCUUAAUAUCUUUUGGGGGGUGAGGCAGGACCUGGAUGGGUGGGUGGGAAGAUGGAAGGAAAUUAAAUAAGUAUGUGUUGAGUAUGUCAUAAACUGUUUUAAAUAUGGAAAUAUUACAUAAAGGUGAACAAGACACAUCAUCUCAUCUCCUGUCCAGUAGGAGAGAUAUAUUAGAUCAAUAAACAAAUACAUAUGUAAGCGUAUGGGAAGAUAAGGGGAACAUAAAUGAUAUGACAAUAAGGGAAGGCUUUUAGGAUAAAAUGACAUUUAAGCUAAGACCUGAAAAGUUAAUAUUAGUUAGCCAGACAGAGUACAGGAAGAUGCUUUCCCAGGUUGAGGAAAUAAAAUGAAACAAAUAAACAAAAAUUUUAAAAACAGCAGUUGCAGUAAGUACACUGAGUAGGGAAACUAAAUUCCCAGAUUUCUGGUACAGGGAAUGUACCAGGGAAAUCAUAGCGAGGGAGAAGUUGAAACCUACACCAUAAAAUAGUUUAUGAGCUCCAGAGAUGUGCCAGCAUGGACCUGAUCCUAAACCUCAUACUAAAAACUUUGAGAAUUGAACGACGUGAUAGACCACCACCCAGAUUCCAGGCUGUCCACUGAGAAGCACCAUGCAAGAAAACUUCUAGUAGCACUGCAAAGACUUUGAAAAUGGAACUGUCAUUCAAACCAUAACCCACAACAUGUUUGUCUGAACUUGUGGCCUGAAACAAACUGGGUUGAUUUCCUGCUAGGAGAAAAAUAUCAACAUUCUCCAUAGGAUUUGAACAAAACCUAGAAUCUGAUAACAUAGUAUUUUAAAUGCCCUGAAUACAAUCUAAAAACACUUGCCGUACAAAGAACAAGAAAAAUCUCAACUCCCAAAAGACAACCUAAGAUGGCACAGACGUUGGGAUUACACCACAAAGCUAUUAGUAAAACAUGCCUUAUGAAAUAAGUACAGACUCUCUUGAUGAAUAUAAAGAAUUCUUAGCCAAGAAAUAGAUAUAAAGAAGAACCACAUGGAAACAUUAGAGCUAAAAAAUUCAGUCUUCAAAAUAAAGGAAUCCUGAAUAGGAUCGGAAGCAGAAUGGAGAUGACAGAGAGAGGAAUUAGUGAACUUGAAGACAGAUUGAUGGAACUUCUUCAUGCUGAACAACAGAGCGAAAAAAAGGUUGGUGAAAAAAUGAGCUGAGCCUCAGGGAACUGUGAGAAAAUAGAAAAAUGUCCGACACUCGUGUCAUUAGAGUCCCAAGAGGCGAAAGAAUGUGGUGCUGAAACAAUAUUCAAAGAAAUAUCGGCUGAAAACUUCCCAAUUAAUGAAUGAUAUAAACUUACAGAUUCAAGAAGUUCAGUAAAUCCCAAACAGGAUAAAUUCAAUGAAAUCUGCAGCCAGAAAAUAACAAUGCGUUACCUACAGGGCAACACCAAUAGGAGCGGCAGUAGAUUUCUCAUUAGAAACCAUGGAAGCAGGAGGAAGUGGAAGAAGACCAUCAACCCAGAAUUCUACCCAGUGAAAACAUCUUCAGGCAUGAAACUGAAAUAAAGACAUUCUCUGAUGAAGAAAGACUAAGAGAAUUGGUUGCCAGAAGACCUGCUUUAAAAGUAUUGCUAAAGGAAGUUCUUCAGACAUUAGAAGUUCAGGAGGAAACUUGGGGCAUCAGGAAUGGAGGAAGAGCCACAGAAAUGGUAAAUGUCGCGUACAUAUGAUAGACUAUUCUCCUUUUGAGUUCUUUAAAAUAUACUUGACAGUUGACAGCAAAAAUUGUAACAUUGUGUGAUGAGCUUUUCAAUGUAUGUAGAUGGUAUGCACAAAACAACUACAAUGUGAAGGGACCUAUAUGGGGAUAAGGUUUCUACAUCCCAUGAAAGUGGGAAUACUGAGCCUAAGCAGACUGUAAAAACAAACAAAUCCUGAGACAAGGAAUUUGAUGCAUUCAAGUAACGAAUGCAAAGAAGUCACAUUUUACCGAAGGGCUAUUGGGUCAUGAUUGUUUCUUCCUCAUCUUAGAAAAAUUCCAAAUAGAAGCUUUGCCUCAUAGCCCAUCCUCUCACACACCCUCAUAUCUAAUCACUCACCAAAUCUUGCAUAUUUCUCUCAAAUGUUUCCAUUUCUCUCCAACCCAUUGGUGCCUUUAUAGUCCUGGGCAUUAUUUCUUACCUGUAUACCAUCCCCGCAACUGUCCUCCCUAACCCAGUUUUGCUUCUUCUCCUCUCUUCAUCCCACCCCAAUUAUCUAAAAUUCAAAUAUCAUCAUGUUGUGUUCCUGCUGAAAAGACAUCCGUCCCUCCCUCCUAACUUUUAAAAUAGUGAACCCUUUAGCCUGGUUACAAGGCCUUUCAUUGUCUGCCUCCCAGUCACCUCUCCAGCCUCAUUUCCUGGCACUCUCCAAUCUCUCCCCUGGACCACAGUCUCUCGACCAGCAUAGUAAAUGUUUUAGGCUUUCUGGGCCAUACGUCCUCUGUUGCAAUGACUCAACUCUAGCUGUAGCACAAAAGCAGCCAUAGGCAAUAUGUAAAUACAUGGGUGGAGCUAUGUGAAAAUAAAGCUCUAAUUACAGAAACAAGUGGCCGGCUGAACUUGGCUCUUGAGCCACUACGUGGAGACCCCUGCUUUAGACAACUGAACUACCUGUGGACGUGGCAUUUUCUUUCCUCUUUUGAGCACUGCACAGUCUACUGUCUGGAAUGCCUGUCUCCUUUGUCUGGCUACCCUUAUUCAUCACCAGGUCUCAAGCUGGAUGCCACUUCUUCGAAGACUCCCUGGACUCCCUACCCUCUACCUCCAUUGUUGCACUUACCGCACUAAUGUAUUUACCUGCUAGCAUAUUUACACAGAUACUUGUCUGUCUUCUCCCACGUGUCUGUAAGCCUCUGGAGGGCAGAAACUAUAUCAAGCCCACACUUUAAUCCCUAGUGCCUGGAAGAGUACUUGGCACAUGUACGAACGAAUAAAACUUUAAUUUUUUCCAUUGAGUGAAUGGAAGGCCAGUAGCUCUCUGGCUGGCCCAGCCCCAGUCUUCAAACUUCAGAACUGGGAAAACACUGCCUGGCUAGAUGGUUGCAUCGUCAUGGAAGCUGUGGUCUGUUUUGUGUAAGCCAUCCCUUCCCUUUGGCCUGGCUUCCUCUUCCAGGGAAGCAGAGGUCCAAAAUUAAGGGCCAACCCCUCUAUCUCCUCUCAGACAGCACCCAUCCCAUCCACCGGCAGCUCAGAGCUGUCUGACCCCACUUCUGGCAGGCAUUCUCAGCCACUGAUUUUAAA